rnacentral:rRNA from 1 species
CCAGCCUUCUGAAAGGAAGAUUAAUCCAGGAUGGCAUCAUGAGUUCACAUGUCCGCAUGAUUAAAGGUAUUUUCCGGUAGACGAUGGGGAUGCGUUCCAUUAGAUAGUAGGCGGGGUAACGGCCCACCUAGUCAACGAUGGAUAGGGGUUCUGAGGGGAAGGUCCCCCACAUUGGAACUGAGACACGGUCCAAACUCCUACGGGAGGCAGCAGUGAGGAAUAUUGGUCAAUGGGCGAUGGCCUGAACCAGCCAAGUAGCGUGAAGGAUGACUGCCCUAUGGGUUGUAAACUUCUUUUAUAAAGGAAUAAAGUCGGGUAUGCAUACCCGUUUGCAUGUACUUUAUGAAUAAGGAUCGGCUAACUCCGUGCCAGCAGCCGCGGUAAUACGGAGGAUCCGAGCGUUAUCCGGAUUUAUUGGGUUUAAAGGGAGCGUAGAUGGAUGUUUAAGUCAGUUGUGAAAGUUUGCGGCUCAACCGUAAAAUUGCAGUUGAUACUGGAUGUCUUGAGUGCAGUUGAGGCAGGCGGAAUUCGUGGUGUAGCGGUGAAAUGCUUAGAUAUCACGAAGAACUCCGAUUGCGAAGGCAGCCUGCUAAGCUGCAACUGACAUUGAGGCUCGAAAGUGUGGGUAUCAAACAGGAUUAGAUACCCUGGUAGUCCACACGGU